UACGUAGGGUGCAAGCGUUUAAUCGGAAUUACUGGGCGUAAAGCGUGCGCAGGCGGUUUUGUAAGUCUGUCGUGAAAUCCCCGGGCUCAACCUGGGAAUGGCGAUGGAGACUGCAGGGCUAGAGUUUGGCAGAGGGGGGUAGAAUUCCACGUGUAGCAGUGAAAUGCGUAGAUAUGUGGAGGAACACCGAUGGCGAAGGCAGCCCCCUGGGUCAAAAACUGACGCUCAUGCACGAAAGCGUGGGGAGCAAACAGG
rnacentral:rRNA from 1 species